UACGGAGGAUCCAAGCGUUAUCCGGAAUCAUUGGGUUUAAAGGGUCCGUAGGCGGCUUUAUAAGUCAGUGGUGAAAUCUCCCGCUCAACGGGGAAACGGCCAUUGAUACUGUAAGGCUUGAAUUAUUAGGAAGUAACGUAGAAUAUGUAGUGUAGCGGUGAAAUGCUUAGAGAUUACAUGGAAUACCAAUUGCGAAGGCAGGUUACUACUAAUGGAUUGACGCUGAUGGACGAAAGCGUGGGUAGCGAACAGG
rnacentral:rRNA from 1 species